rnacentral:rRNA from 1 species
GACGAACGCUGGCGGCGUGCUUAAUACAUGCAAGUCGAACGGAAAGGCCCUGCUUUUGCUGGUUGCUCGUUUGGCGAACGCGUGAGUAACACGUGUGUAACCUGCCCUUGACUUUGGGAUAACUUCACGAAACUCCGGCUAAAACCCGAUAGGAGCUCCUGCAGCAUGGUGUGGAUUGGUAAGUGUCGGCGGUUGGGGAUGGAUUCGCGGCUUAUCAGCUUCUUGGUGGGGUAGGUGCUGACCAAGGCUUCGACGGGUAGCCUGCCUGAGAGGGUGACCGGCGACAAUGGGACUGAGAGACGGCGCAGACUCGUACGGGACGCAGCGGGGGGGAAUAUGGCGGAAUGGGGGGGAGCCUGAUGCGGCAGCGCCGGGUGCGGGAUGCCGGGCUUCGGGUUAUAAACCGAUUUCGAAUGUGACGAAGAGUGCGUGACGGUAAUGGGUAAAGAAGCACCGGCUAACUACGUG